AGAGUUUGAUCCUGGCUCAGAACGAACGCUGGCGGCGUGCUUAACACAUGCAAGUCGAGCGCGAAAGCCACCUUCGGGUGGCCGGUAGAGCGGCGAACGGGUGCGUAACACGUGAGUAACCUGCCCUGAGGUUGGGGAUAACUAUUCGAAAGGAUAGCUAAUACCGAAUACGUCCACAAUGUCACAAUGUCGUAUGGCGAUGUGAGCAAAGGGGGCUUCGGCUCCCGCCUUUGGAUGGGCUCGCGGCCCAUUAGCUAGUUGGUGAGGUAAUGGCUCACCAAGGCUGAGAUGGGUAGCUGGUCUGAGAGGAUGAUCAGCCACACUGGGACUGAGAUACGGCCCAGACUCCUACGGGAGGCAGCAGUGGGGAAUAUUGCGCAAUGGGGGAAACCCUGACGCAGCAACGCCGCGUGGGUGACGAAGGCCCUUGGGUCGUAAAGCCCUGUCAGUAGGGAAGAAUUCCUUGGUGGUUAAUACCCAUCGAGAUUGACGGUACCUACAAAGGAAGCACCGGCUAACUCCGUGCCAGCAGCCGCGGUAAUACGGGGGGCGCAAACGUUGUUCGGAAUCACUGGGCGUAAAGGGCGCGUAGGCGGCCAGGCCAGUGAGAUGUGAAAGCCACCGGCUCAACCGGUGAACUGCAUCUCAUACUAUUCGGCUUGAGGGCAGCAGAGGAGACGGGAAUUCCCGGUGUAGCGGUGAAAUGCGUAGAUAUCGGGAGGAACACCAGUGGCGAAGGCGCGUCUCUGGGCUGCAUCUGACGCUAAGGCGCGAAAGCUGGGGGAGCAAACAGGAUUAGAUACCCUGGUAGUCCCAGCCGUAAACGGUGAACACUAGGUGUGGGGGGCAUCGACCCCUUCCGUGCCGUAGCUAACGCAUUAAGUGUUCCGCCUGGGGAGUACGACCGCAAGGUUGAAACUCAAAGGAAUUGACGGGGGCCCGCACAAGCGGUGGAGCAUGUGGUUUAAUUCGACGCAACGCGAAGAACCUUACCAAGGCUUAAACUGCACUGGACAGGUGUGGGAACACACCCUCCUUUCGGGGUUCCUGUAGAGGUGCUGCAUGGCUGUCGUCAGCUCGUGUCGUGAGAUGUUGGGUUAAGUCCCGCAACGAGCGCAACCCUUGUCUUUAGUUGCCAUCAGUUUGGCUGGGCACUCUAAAGAUACUGCCGCGGUUAACGGGGAGGAAGGUGGGGAUGACGUCAAGUCCUCAUGGCCUUUAUGCCCAGGGCUACACACGUGCUACAAUGGGCUGUACAAAGGGUCGCGAACCCGCGAGGGGGAGCCAAUCCCAAAAAGCAGCUCUCAGUUCGGAUUGGAGUCUGCAAUUCGACUCCAUGAAGUCGGAAUCGCUAGUAAUCGUAGAUCAGCACGCCACGGUGAAUGCGUUCCCGGGCCUUGUACACACCGCCCGUCACACCACGAGAGUUGACUGUACCAGAAGUUGUUGGACCAACCCCGGAGCUUGUCGAAGGGGAGGUAGGCACCUAAGGUAUGGUUGAUAAUUGGGGUGAAGUCGUAACAAGGUAACCAAGGGCGAA
rnacentral:rRNA from 1 species